AAUUGCAUAACAAUUAUAAAUCUUCAAAUAUACAUUUGACGUUAGCAAACGAUUAGUAACAUGUGAUGAGUCUGUUUCAUUUUCUCUCUUUUUUGAAAAUCUAGUAAGUUUGUUGCUUGAUUUGGCAUCCUUAACAAAUUAUGCCUUCUUACAUUAAAGUGGCAAGUUUAAAAAAUAUAUCUACAAUUUUUUUUUAUUAUUUUUUAAUUCUGCAUUAUCUGUUUGCAUUACCUUGCCAAGUUUUGGUAAUUUCUCUUUUUUA
rnacentral:misc_RNA from 1 species